UGAGGAAUAUUGGUCAAUGGGCGCGAGCCUGAACCAGCCAAGUAGCGUGCAGGAUGACGGCCCUAUGGGUUGUAAACUGCUUUUAUACGGGGAUAAAGUAUGCCACGUGUGGUUUAUUGCAGGUACCGUAUGAAUAAGGACCGGCUAAUUCCGUGCCAGCAGCCGCGGUAAUACGGAAGGUCCGGCGUAUCGAUUAUGGUUAAGGAGCGUAGGCCGGGUUUUAAGCGUGCCGUGAAAUGUCGGGGCUCAACCUUGACACUGCGGCGCGAACUGGAGUCCUUGAGUGCGCGGAACGUAUGCGGAAUUCGUGGUGUAGCGGUGAAAUGCUUAGAUAUCACGAAGAACCCCGAUUGCGAAGGCAGCAUACGGCAGCGCUACUGACGCUGAAGCUCGAAGGCGCGGGUAUCGAACAGGAUUAGAUACC
rnacentral:rRNA from 1 species